rnacentral:rRNA from 1 species
AGAAUCAACGCUGGCGGCGUGCCUCAGACAUGCAAGUCGAACGCGAAAGUCCCCUUCGGGGGACAAGUAGAGUGGCGCACGGGUGAGUAACACGUAGGUAAUCUACCUUCGGAUGGGGAAUAACAACCGGAAACGGUUGCUAAUACCGCAUAAUGCAGCGGCACCUAAUGGUGACAGUUGUUAAAGGCGGGGGAUCGAAAGACCUCGCGUCUGAAGAGGAGCCUGCGGCGGAUUAGCUAGUUGGUAGGGUAACGGCCUACAAGGCGACGAUCCGUA